rnacentral:rRNA from 1 species
GAUGAACGCUGGCGGCGUGCCUAAUACAUGCAAGUCGAGCGAACAGACGAGGAGCUUGCUCCUCUGACGUUAGCGGCGGACGGGUGAGUAACACGUGGAUAACCUACCUAUAAGACUGGGAUAACUUCGGGAAACCGGAGCUAAUACCGGAUAAUAUAUUGAACCGCAUGGUUCAAUAGUGAAAGACGGUUUUGCUGUCACUUAUAGAUGGAUCCGCGCCGCAUUAGCUAGUUGGUAAGGUAACGGCUUACCAAGGCAACGAUGCGUAGCCGACCUGAGAGGGUGAACGGCCACACGGGAACGGAGACACGGUCCAGACUCCGACGGGAGGCAGCAGUAGGGAAUCUUCCGCAAUGGGCGAAGGCCUGACGGAGCGACGCCGCGUGAGUGAUGAAGGUCUUCGGAUCGUAAAACUCUGUUAUUAGGGAAGAACAAAUGUGUAAGUAACUAUGCGCGUCUUGACGGUACCUAAUCAGAAAGCCACGGCUAACUACGUGCCAGCCGCCGCCGUAA